rnacentral:rRNA from 1 species
UACGUAGGGGGCGAGCGUUGUCCGGAUUUACUGGGCGUAAAGGGCGCGCAGGCGGUCCGCCAAGGUCUGGGUGAAAGCCCCCCGCUCACCGGGGGGAGGGCCGGGGCGACUGGCGGACUGGAGGAGGGCAGAGGCCGGUGGAAUUCCCGGUGUAGUGGUGAAAUGCGUAGAGAUCGGGAGGAACACCCGUGGCGAAAGCGGCCGGCUGGGCCCUGUCCUGACGCUGAGGCGCGAAAGCGUGGGGAGCGAA